CUGAACCACAAAAUAGUCAAAUUGCCAUCAGCCGGUUUGUUCGUUUUCUUGGUCAGGUUCGCAGGUUACUCUUAAAAUAAACAGAUAGGCCUACGAGUUUAAUGAGGAUGGAUCAAUGUAUGAAUGAGAACUUCGACAUGGAUGACGAGUGUUCUGAACUACACCACAGAGAACUGCCUGUUGACAUUACCUCCUCGUUUAGAUGAAAGACUGCAUUGCCAAAGGUUCUGCUUUGAACUCCUUACUCCAUGAACUGUUGGUAGAGAAGGUUUCUACUCAGAAGAAACAUCAUUGGAUUCUCGGACCUGAGGACCUCAAUGAUACUCUAGUUUAUGAUUUUGAAGUGGAAGAAGCAGCUUGAGAUAUUAGUCAAUGUAUGGUGAUCUGUUCUCCUUUUGACUGGAUUUUAAGGAUUUUAUUUUUUAAUUCAGCUGUCUGUAAAACGUGUAAAUAAACCAUAUGUAUUUACUUUUUUAGUUUGUUUAAUGGAGACCCUCUCUCACAAAACCAUUUUAUGCAGACAGGACAUGCAAGGUUUACAAAAUAUUUUGUUUUAAAGUGCGUUGCAUCUGGAAAUUCACUGUUUAAAAGGAUCUGAUAAAUGCCCUUUUAAAAGGAGAAUUCUCAAAUCAUAAAAUGUCUUAUCUUUAAGACUUUAUCUAAAUUUACAUUUAGCAUCUGACUGGAGAUAUAUUAUAGAUGUUGCAGAUGUGCAAAUUCUAGGAUUCCAGACUCUGCUUAAAAACAAAUCAAACAAUGAAAAAGUAAUAGAGACAAUCAUAGGAAUGGAGUUGUUUAAAAAGUUCUAAUAAAAAUCAUAUUAGUUUUAAUGAAAAAAAAAAAAAAAAAAAAAAAAAAAAAAAAAAAC
rnacentral:lncRNA from 1 species